GGGCAUGACAGUGGCUCAGUGGAGCAGUCUCUGCUUCACGUGCAGAAGGUCCCAGGUUCAAUCCCUGGCAUUUCUA
rnacentral:tRNA from 1 species